UUCAGUUUUGUUAUACCUGGAUGAUGUCGUUAUGUUAUUCGCGCACUUAUGGUUACAACAAUAUUAUCCAAGAUAUCACGUCCGGCGUGAACGCGUUAUUGAACGGUUUGUCUGGUCGUUAUCACGUCCGUAGUGGAUGAGUUAUUGAACGGUUUGUCUGGACGGUUACAGGAUGAAUAUUCCAGGGUGUUGUUGAUGCAAAUCAAUAUAGAUAGAUAGCUCUGUCUACAGAACGACCAGAUACAGUUGGUGUACUUACAAGUGCUGUUGGUGCUUUCAGGAUAAAUAGUUCAGUCUAUAGGACCACCAGGGACAGUUGAGUGACUUGAAACUAUAAAGAUGAACAAUGAACCGCGGUUAAAACGCACUGAAAAAUUUAGGAACACAAUUGAUCCAGAGUUCACAUGCUUGAGAACGUUUUUAGGUCGAAUGAAAACAACUGGAGUUAUUCAGAUUUUAACAGGAGUUGGUAUGCUGGGAAGUGCAGUUUUUAUUAUCCUUACCUUCAAAUCUACGUUUUUACAAGGCCAAUCUGUCGGCUCCAGGAUCACACCUAAUCUUAUCAUUGGAUUAACGUGCCUAUUUUCUGGAUGUCGAGCUUUUAUGAUGAAAGGCGAAGUAGGUUUCACUUUAGAUCACUCUGGACUAAAAUGUGUGGUUGGACUGUGUGCUAUUUUAACAAUCGUUGCGUUUACCAUGUCCGCUUUGUUAAUAUGUUUAGCAUCAUAUGAAAUUCAUACUUUAAACACUCCACAAGGAGCUAAAAAAUAUUCACACGUGGGAGAUAGAAAAGGUUUGAAUAUCGUCAAUAUCGUCGUCAGCCUCAUUAGUGGUGCUGUGUGUCUUGGAUGUUUUGUGAUAUUUGUUAAAAUGGGGGUUAAACUUCCACGUAAGGAAAGACCAGCUGUGGUAAAUCAAAGUACUCCGAAUGUUUCUAUUAUAAGUCGUUCAACCGAGUUCGAAAAUCCUACAUUAUCGGAAGUAGAACGCUAUAAUCAGCCACAUAUUAUGUCGUCAUAUCCGUAUGAAAACGAAAACGAAGAGGCGGAAUAUCCGCAGUUGCAAUAUGAAGUCAACAUAAGCAGCAGUUAUUAUUUCUAGAUUUCCCUGGAAAAGUGCCGAACAAGAAUGAUAUAGUCGAUGACGUGUUUUGUUCUAACAAUCACCCCUUGAAUGACCACAAAUUGUUUUGUGGGCUUGCCAAUAGUCUUUAUAAAGGACAUCUGUAAAAUAAAGUAAGUGUGGGAUAUAUAUACUUGGUUGUAUGUUCCCUCGUACAACACAGGAAGCCGGACAUACAAGGUGAAUUAAUUAACAUAGCCGCUAAUCCCGCUUCAUCUGCUGAAACAGAUAUUUGAUCGGAUGGAGUCUGUCGCAUCACUGAUCGGAAUUAUACACAUGAUCAAACCAAAUUAAUUGUAUUUAAGCCUAAAUCACAGAGUUUUGACUUUAUUAAAGUCGUGGUCAUAGACAGCUUAAUAUAGUGUUAAACACUCUUUAGAAUGCAUUCUCAUAUAAAGUUCUGUAAUAGGCCUGUAAACAGUUAGUGUUCAUUUGUGUGGUUGGCGAUACGUUGUCAAUUCAAUGAUGUGCAAAUCACGAGCAGGUGAAUAAUACCAAGUGGAAAUGCUAAUGACACCAAUUUUGGUUUUAAAUUCUCAUUUUAAACCCCAUGUAAAAAUUAUAUGUUUGCUGGCAAACAUAACAUAUUUAUAAGUAUUUUUUUGUUCAAGAUAUAGUUGUUUUUGUAUGAUAUAUGACCCAUGAUGGUUAUAGUUUAUUUCAAUAGAUAUGUAUAUAACGCAUUUUUAUGAUAUAUGCCCUGUGAUGUUCAUGGUACGUAUUAAAAUCAUUUGAUGGAAAUAA